UAAACACACUCCAACACCUCAGUGUCUUCCUUGGACUGAGGGGCCCAAAACUCAACACAGGAUUUGAGGUCAACCACAACGAAACAGGUGUGCCAUGCUCCACAGAGCCCCCGCUGUGGGAAACAAGCCCCGACAUGUGAGGUCAAGAGUUUGGGGCAAUCAACUAAGAGGGGCAGAGUCCUCCAGGGAAGCCCCAGUGCCAGGCUCCGUCUCUGCAUGCCAGUGCAUUUGCCCCCACGCAGAACUGCUUGGCAGAAAAGAGUACAUACACAUAUGGACUCACUCUCUGAAACAACCAUUGGAGAUAUCUGAGGGAGAACAAAGAGAGGAAGCUGGAUGUUGGCUGCCUACCUUAAGGGAAAAAUGAUGCAAGCAUACUCUAAGUAAUAAACUGAAUAAAAGCUUUCA